CCUACGGGAGGCAGCAGUGGGGAAUUUUGCGCAAUGGGGGAAACCCUGACGCAGCAACGCCGCGUGAGUGAUGAAGGCCUUCGGGUCGUAAAGCUCUGUCGGAAGGGAAGAAAUGGCGUAGUGUUAAUACCAUUGUGUCUGGACGGACCCUUCAAAGGAAGCACCGGUUAAUUCCGGGCCACCGCCCGCGGUAAU
rnacentral:rRNA from 1 species